GACGACCGCUGGCGGCGUGCUUAACACAUGCAAGUAGAACGCAGUUGCGAACGGGUGAGUAACGCGUAGGGAACUGCCUCAUUGAGGGGGAUAACUAUUUGGACCGAUACCUAAUACCGCAUACUUUGAGAUGGAACUGCGUUGGACUAGCUAGUUGGUGUGGUAAAGGCGCACAAUGGCGACGAUACAUAGCCGACCUGAGAGGAUGAACUGCCACAGUGGGACUGAGACACGGCCCAGACUCCUACGGGAGGCAGCAGUGGGGAAUCUUCGGCAAUGGACGGAUGUCUGACCGAGCAACGCCGCGUGAGUGAAGAAGGUUUUCGGAUCGUAAAGCGCUGUUUUUAGAGAAGCGGUAACUGACCAGAAAGGUACGGCUAACUACGUGCCAGCAGCCGCGGUAAUAC
rnacentral:rRNA from 1 species